CAGUAGCCACGGUAAUACGUAGGGGGCAAGCGUUAUCCGGAUUUACUGGGUGUAAAGGGAGCGCAGACGGCAGUGCAAGUCUGAAGUGAAAGGCGUGGGCUCAACCCAUAAACUGCUUUGGAAACUGUAUAGCUUGAGUGUCGGAGGGGUAAGCGGAAUUCCUAGUGUAGCGGUGAAAUGCGUAGAUAUUAGGAGGAACACCGGAGGCGAAGGCGGCUUACUGGACGACAACUGACGUUGAGGCUCGAAGGCGUGGGGAGCAAACAGGAUUAGAUACCCCUGUAGUCCCUGUCUCUUAUAC
rnacentral:rRNA from 1 species